CAGCAGUGGGGAAUAUUGGACAAUGGGCGGAAGCCUGAUCCAGCCAUGCCGCGCGUGUGAAGAAGGCCUUAUGGUUGUAAAGCACUUUAAGCGAGGAGGAGGCUACUCUAGUUAAUACCUAGAGAUAGUGGACGUUACUCGCAGAAUAAGCACCGGCUAACUCUGUG
rnacentral:rRNA from 1 species